ensembl:lncRNA
AAACAGCUUUUAAUCCGUAAGGAGACACUUGGCCUGAUCAGACAGUAGAUCACCCACCUGGCAGAGAUUGUUCCAGAAGCUUUGUCCUGGUGAGAAGGUAUGUGUGUUUAAUCUAGAAAGAAGACAUGAAGAGGAGAAGAACUUGGGCGAGACCCCUACCUCUUGAUGAUGAUGAUGAGAAUGAUGAUGAGAAUGAUAACAAUGAUGAAGAAGAGGAGGAAGAAGAAAGUACUUCUGACAGAAGAGAUAGUUUAAGAAAACGAAAGAAAGUCAAUUACUGGACAGAUGCUCAUGUUGAUGGAGAGGAUGAGGAGGAUGAGUACGAGGAGGAUGAGGAGGAAGGUGAGGAGGAAGGUGAACACAGCCAGACAACACCAGAAAACAGUGAACCAUGUAUUGAGUAUCAGGGCGACUUCUGUACUCCACCUGAAUUUGAGGACAUUGCGGGGAAAAGCAGGGCAAAGAAAUGGAAAACAAGUAUUUUCUAUAAGAGGAAACCUCUGCAGUAUUACUUUGAUAAAGAGCUGCUGACCACGGUGGGAUACCACAGGAGAAGGAGGGAAACAGCAAAGCAAACCACACCAUCAGGUCGCGAGUCUCCGUGUAGUGUGGCAUCAGAAGAGGAAUCAACUGGAAGCAAAAAUG